rnacentral:rRNA from 1 species
UACGUAGGGUCCAAGCGUUAUCCGGAAUCACUGGGCGUAAAGCGUGCGUAGGUGGUUUGUUAAGUGUGGUGUUAAAUCGUGGGGCUCAACCCUAUCGAUGCAUCGCAUACUGGCAGACUAGAGGACAGCAGAGGCAAGUGGAAUUUGUAGUGUAGCAGUGAAAUUCGUAGAUAUUCGCAAGAACACCAGUGGCGAAGGCGGCUCACUGGCCCGAUACUGACGCUGAGGUGCGAAAGCGUGGGGAGCAAACAGG